rnacentral:rRNA from 1 species
UGCGGCUUAAUUUGACUCAACACGGGGAAACUCACCAGGUCCAGACACAAUGAGGAUUGACAGGAUGAGAGCACUUUCUUGAUUUUGUGGGUGGUGGUGCAUGGCCGUUCUUAGUUGGUGGAGUGAUUUGUCUGCUUAAUUGCGAUAACGAACGAGACC